rnacentral:rRNA from 1 species
UAGGGAAUCUUCCACAAUGGACGCAAGUCUGAUGGAGCAACGCCGCGUGAGUGAAGAAGGUUUUCGGAUCGUAAAGCUCUGUUGUUGGUGAAGAAGGAUAGAGGCAGUAACUGGUCUUUAUUUGACGGUAAUCAACCAGAAAGUCACGGCUAACUACGUGCCAGCAGCCGCGGUAAUACGUAGGUGGCAAGCGUUGUCCGGAUUUAUUGGGCGCAAAGCGAGCGCAGGCGGAAUGAUAAGUCUGAUGUGAAAGCCCACGGCUCAACCGUGGAACUGCAUCGGAAACUGUCAUUCUUGAGUGCAGAAGAGGAGAGUGGAACUCCAUGUGUAGCGGUGGAAUGCGUAGAUAUAUGGAAGAACACCAGUGGCGAAGGCGGCUCUCUGGUCUGCAACUGACGCUGAGGCUCGAAAGCAUGGGUAGCGAACAGGAUUAGAUACCCUGGUAGUCCAUGCCGUAAACGAUGAGCGCUAGGUGUUGGGGACUUUCCGGUUCUCA